UACGUAGGGGGCAAGCGUUGUCCGGAUUUAUUGGGCGUAAAGAGCGUGUAGGCGGCCACACAGGUCUGCUGUGAAAACUCGAGGCUCAACCUCGAGCUGUCGGUGGAAACCGUGUGGCUAGAGUCCGGAAGAGGAGACUGGAAUUCCUGGUGUAGCGGUGAAAUGCGCAGAUAUCAGGAGGAACACCGGUGGCGAAGGCGGGUCUCUGGGCAGUAACUGACGCUGAGAAGCGAAAGCGUGGGUAGCGAACAGG
rnacentral:rRNA from 1 species